rnacentral:ncRNA from 2 species
GCGAGGUUUGCUCCCGGUGGUUCCCGCAAGGGAUCAAAAGGGAACGCGGUGCGUGUGCGCUUUGCACACAAUGCCGCGGCUGCCCCCGCAACUGUAAGCGGCGAGUUUCCGCCCGAUCAUGCCACUGGGAAUGUGAAUUCCUGGGAAGGCGGGCGAAAACAGCGACCCGUGAGCCAGGAGAUCUGCCACCAGCAAUGGUCACGC